AGUGGUGCUGGGGACUGAGUCCAGGACAUCAUUCAUGCUUGUAAGCGUUUACCAGGGGCCAGCAAAACAGCACUUGUUGCCAACCUUAACCUGAAUUCUAUCCCUGAGACCCACACGAUGGAAAGAGAGAGAGAACCAACUCUUACAAGGUGUUUUCUGACAUUUAUGAUUUCUGGAUGACACAGAGAAGGAACUCAGCAACCUUUCAGGGUUGACAGAAGGGACAAGCGGCAGUCAUUAGAAGGUACAGGCUCCGUACCCUAGGCCAGCUGGAAGGUGACGAUCAAGGCUUUCAGGAAUGCAGUCCUGGAAGGAUUCUGGA